AGUCUUAUAUUCAAAAAUGAUUUUAGAUUGCAAAUCUAAAGGUAAAGGUGUAUCUUUUAAGACUU
rnacentral:tRNA from 1 species